AAUUGCAGAUGAUGUAAAUUUGUCGACGACUGGACAACCUUCUGUUUGCAUUCGAUCCUUUUGCGGGACUGGAUAUUAAGGAGCGUUUCAUUAGUUUUGCAGACAGGUCCAAUUCUGGUGUUGCUGCGGGGACUGUCAGGAGCAUAAAGGGACGCCCUUAUUGUUGUUCAGUCACAUUAAACCAUCCGCGGCCGAGGCCGGUCAGCUCAGUGGCCUUCAGCAGAUGCAUGGCUCCAGGCUCGGGCCCUCUUGAAGUCCAGGCUGCCUUCACCUGUGCAUAACAAGAUCCCUGAUUGAUUUUGUGCGCUGGGG
rnacentral:lncRNA from 1 species